rnacentral:rRNA from 1 species
UACGAAGGGGGCUAGCGUUGCUCGGAAUCACUGGGCGUAAAGCGCACGUAGGCGGCUUUCUAAGUCAGGGGGUGAAAUCCUGGAGCUCAACUCCAGAACUGCCUUUGAUACUGGAGAGCUUGAGUCCGGAAGAGGUGAGUGGAACUCCGAGUGUAGAGGUGAAAUUCGUAGAUAUUCGGAAGAACACCAGUGGCGAAGGCGGCUCACUGGCCGGUACUGACGCUGAUGUGCGAAAGCGUGGG